UACGAAGGGGGCUAGCGUUGUUCGGAAUUACUGGGCGUAAAGCGCGCGUAGGUGGUUAUACAAGUCAGAGGUGAAAUCCCACGGCUCAACCGUGGAACUGCCUUUGAAACUGUAUGGCUUGAGUUCGGAAGAGGAGAGUGGAAUUCCUAAUGUAGAGGUGAAAUUCGUAGAUAUUAGGAGGAACACCAGUGGCGAAGGCGGCUCUCUGGUCCGAUACUGACACUGAGGCGCGAAAGCGUGGGUAGCAAACAGG
rnacentral:misc_RNA from 1 species